rnacentral:rRNA from 1 species
AUUGAACGCUGGCGGCAGGCCUAACACAUGCAAGUCGAACGAGUGGCGGACGGGUGAGUAAUGUCUGGGAAACUUCCCGAUGGAGGGGGAUAACUACUGGAAACGGUAGCUAAUACCGCAUACUAUCAGAUGAGCCCAGCUGGGAUUAGCUAGUAGGUGGGGUAACGGCUCACCUAGGCGACGAUACCUAGCUGGUCUGAGAGGAUGACCAGCCACACUGGAACUGAGACACGGUCCAUACUCCUACGGGAGGCAGCAGUGGGGAAUAUUGCACAAUGGGCGCAAGCCGGAGGCAGCCAUGCCGCGGGGGUGAAGAAGGCCUUCGGGUUGUAAAGCACUUUCAGCGGGGAGGCGUUACCCGCAGAAGAAGCACCGGCUAACUCCGUGCCAGCAGCCGCGGUAAUAC